rnacentral:rRNA from 1 species
GAUGAACGCUGGCGGCGUGCUUAACACAUGCAAGUCGAACGAAGCACUUUAUUUGAUUUCCUUCGGGACUGAGUAUUUUGUGACUGAGUGGCGGACGGGUGAGUAACGCGUGGGUAACCUGCCUUGUACAGGGGGAUAACAGUUUGAAACGGCUGCUAAUACCGCAUAAGCGCACAGCAUCGCAUGAGGCAGUGUGAAAAACUCCGGUGGUAUGAGAUGGACCCGCGUUGGUUUAGAUAGUUGGUGAGGUCACGGCCCACCAAGGCGACGCUCCAUAGCCGAGAUGAGAGGGUGACCGGACACACUGGGACUGAGACACGGACCAAACCCCUACGGGAGGAAGCAGUGGGGAAUAUUGCACAAUGGGCGAAAGACUGAUGCAGCGACGCCGCGUGAGCGAAGAAGUAUUUAGGUAUGUAAAGCUCUAUCAGCAGGGAAGAUAAUGACGGUACCUGACGAAGAAGCACCGGCUAACUACGUG